GGAAGGAUCAUUAAAGAGAGCUUCGGCUCCUUUUAUGCCCCUAACAAAUUGCUGUUCCAAUCCUCGUUGCUUCCACCCUUGGAGGGCGGGCAGUGUGCCCGCUUGAUAGGGGUGGAGGGUUUGUUUAAAAUUAUAUAUUUGCUUAGUCAGUUUUGUCUGAAUCAGAGGGAAAACGCUUUAAAACUUUCAACAACGGAUCUCUUGGCUCCUGCAUCGAUGAAGAACGCAGCGAAAUGCGAUAAUUAAUGUGAAUUGCAGAAUUCCGUGAAUCAUCGAGUCUUUGAACGCACAUUGCGCCCUAUGGUAUUCCGUAGGGCAUGCCCGUCUCAGCGUCAGUGAAUCUCCAUCAAGCUGUAGUAUUCUUUUACCAUAGCUUGGACAGUGUCAGGGAAGCAGCAGCUUUACCGAGUUGCAGCUCCUUGGAAAUACAUAGAUACUCACACCAUCAUGUGUGGAACGUGAUGAAAAAUUCUUCGUUCUACAAUCAGUGGUAUGACUUUAUCUAAAAAUCCACAUAUACCGUCUGGUAUACAAUUCUGAACUUGACCUGAGAUCGGGUAGGGAUACCCGCUGAACUUAAGCAUAUCAAUAAGCGGAGGAAAAGAAACCAACCGGGAUUGCCCUAGUAACGGCGAGUGAAGCGGCAAAAGCUCAGAUUUGAAAGCUGGCACUUCUUGUGUCCGCGUUGUAAUCUGUAGAGGGGUGUUCGGGUGUGGCUCUGGCUCAAGUUCCUUGGAACAGGACGUCAUGGAGGGUGAGAAUCCCGUGCAUGGUCGUUGUUCCACGCCUAUGUGAACCUCCUUCAACGAGUCGAGUUGUUUGGGAAUGCAGCUCUAAAUGGGUGGUAUAUUUCAUCUAAAGCUAAAUACCAGCAGGAGACCGAUAGCGCACAAGUAGAGUGAUCGAAAGAUGAAAAGAACUUUGGAAAGAGAGUCAAACAGUACGUGAAAUUGUUGAAAGGGAAGCACUUGUGCCCAGACUUGCUUGCGGUUGAUCAGCUGUCAUUUAUGAUGGUGCACUCUGCCGUAGGCAGGCCAGCAUCGGUCAGGGUGGUUGGAAAAAGGUAUGGGGAAUGUGGCUCCUUCGGGAGUGUUAUAGCCCUAUAUGUCAUACAACCUGCUUUGACCGAGGGCCGCGCUUUUUGCGAGGAUGCUGGCAUAAUGGGUAUAAGUGACCCGUCUUGAAACACGGACCAAGGAGUCUAACAGCUGUGCGAGUGUUUGGGUGAAAAACCCUCACGCGCAAUGAAAGUGAAUGGAGGUGGGAACCGUAAGGUGCACCAUCGACCGAUCCUGAUGUCUUCGGAUGGAUUUGAGUAGGAGCAUGGCUGUUGGGACCCGAAAGAUGGUGAACUAUGCCUGAAUAGGGUGAAGCCAGAGGAAACUCUGGUGGAGGCUCGCAGCGGUUCUGACGUGCAAAUCGAUCGUCAAAUUUGGGUAUAGGGGCGAAAGACUAAUCGAACCAUCUAGUAGCUGGUUCCGGC
rnacentral:misc_RNA from 1 species